AACGGCCAUACCAUGCUGAAUAUACCGGUUCUCGUUAGAUCACCGAAGUCAAGCAUCAUUGGGCGCGGUCAGUACUUGGGAACAGGUGACCCUGACUUGGGUUCAGGGUGACCACCUGGGAACACCGCUUGCCGU